GAGUUUGAUCUUGGCUCAGGAUGAACGCUGGCGGCGUGCUUAACACAUGCAAGUCGAACGGAGCGCUCGUGAUGGAGUUUUCGGACAACGGAUCGAGCUGCUUAGUGGCGGACGGGUGAGUAACGCGUGAGCAAUCUGCCUUGGAGUGGGGAAUAACACAGGGAAACUUGUGCUAAUACCGCAUGAUGCAGCUGCACCGCAUGGUGGUGGUUGCCAAAGAUCUAUCGCUCUGAGAUGAGCUCGCGUCUGAUUAGCUA
rnacentral:rRNA from 1 species